ensembl:lncRNA
GAGAAAGAGAGAGAGCAAGCGAGAGAGAGAGUAAGCGUGUGUGUGUGUGUGUGUGUGUGUGUGUGUGUGUAAAUAAUGACCUCCCAAAGAUGUCCAUGCCCUAACCCCCAGUGCCUGUGAAUGUGUGAUGCUACCUAGCAAGGGAGAAUUAAGGUUGCAGAUGGAAUUAAGUUUGCUUAUCACUUGACCUUAAAAUCAGGAGAUUAGCCUGAAUUAUUCAGGUGGGCCCAGUGUAAUCACAAGACUUCUUAAAAGAUGGAAGAGGAAGAAAAAUCAGUGUCAGGGGAUGCAAAGUGAAAAAAACCUCAACUUACUGUUUCUGGAUUUGUCAGAAGGGGGCCAAAGAAUAUGGGCAGCCUCUAGAGGCUAAAAAGAGCAGGCAGGUGUGGCUGGCUGGCCUAACAGCCUAGGAAGCUGAUUCCUCUUGGAGGGGCAGCAAACACCAGUCUGCCUUUGAGAUCUGCUGAACCACAAGGAGACUGCACUUCACUCUUUUUUUGUAGUGAGAUGCUGGCCACCAAAGCAGAACAUGCAAAGAUGACCCAGAACUGGUGUUCCAACCAUUCGUUGACUGAUCAUCAGAAGAUUAAGAGGCCAAAAAAAGUAGCAGAGAUUAGAGAGAAAAAUUCUUUCAGAAGAAUUUUGUGUGUGUGUUCGCUGGCACCCUCUCCCUCACCAGCAGCUCCAUGGACACCCAGACAAGCUCUUUUCAAUGAGAGCUUCCACCUCCUAUCAUUGUUCAAGCUCCUACCUUUAAAAAAAAAUACAUAUUUAUUUUUGGCUGCACUGGAUUUUUGUUGCUGUGGGAGCGCUUUCUCUAGUUGCCGUGAGCAGGAGCCGCUCUCUAGUUACGGUGGCUUCUCUUGCUGUGGAGCACAGGCUCUAGGCUUGUGGCCUUCAGGAGUUGCAGCCUAUGGGCUCGGAGGUUGUGGUGCAUCAGCUUAGCUGACUGGAGGCAUGUGGGAUCCUCCCGGAUCAGGGGUUGAAUCUGCAUCUCCUGCACCAGGUGGACUCCUAAUCACUGGACCACCAGCGAAGCCCCGAAGCUCCUACUUGGUGAACUUCCUUGGAUCUCAUGAAAACGCUUAGGAAUUAUUCCAAACUGCCAAUUGAAGGCCUCAACUAGAGGCUGAAGUUGCUGGAGGUCCUCCUCCAAAAGGCCAAGAGAGGAAGGAGCAAGGAAAGGGAAGAGUUCAAAACCAAACCAAACCACAAAAUAGCAGCUCUUCCUGUGGAAAUGUAGUGCUUUCCCCCUUAUUUUAAUAAUAUAAUUAUCAAGGUUAUCCAAAUAUUCAUUAUUGGAGUCCUUGUAGUUAGAAGAUUGUGGAGGGACAUGAAAGCCAUGAUAACACAAAAAUAUUUGUUCAUGAACACCCACCAUAAAUCCCACAAAGCCCUUUUUGGCUCAGUCUUCUGAUGACUGGGAUAUUAUAAACAUCUGACAGGACAAUGCAAGCUAUGCAAAUCUGUUUCAAAGUCAAAUUUCAAAUCUUGCAAAAGAUCAAGAAGAAUGAAGUUGGAAAAUUGCUCAAAUCAUAGCAAUGAAAAAUAGGGGCAUGACGGAGGUGCACCAGUUAACAACAGGAAAAAUUAAGAAUCAGCAGAGAUAGUGACCCCAGAGACACUUCAAAGGGAAACAUACACCUAUCAACCACUAUGAGAAGCCUUUGGGAAAACUCAUGAAGCACUUGCAUACUUUUGGAUAAAUGUCCUUUCAAAUAAGAUUGGCCAUGAAAGUAAAAUACAAAGCAAAAAAGGCAGUGCUGUUGUACAAAUAUUUUGAAAUUUUUUUCCCCAAAAUGAAUGGCUCGUCUUUUUCAGUCUAAGAUUGUGUAUUUGUAAUUAUAACUGAAAUUGCAUUUAGUAUAAGAUUUUAAAAGCUUAAUUUCAUAAUUUUCAGUUUUAUUUCUCAAGUUCAAGCCCCAAACAACCCUUUCUCCCACCUUCUGUUUGUUGUAAAUGUUCUGUCUUAAGUAGUUUCCUAUUAAGAGGUUGUACCAGAAUUAUACAGUAAUGAAGACCUUCUGCUCCUAAAACCCCAGUCUGAAGUACAUUCUUUGCAUAUGGAGAGCUUCUUUGAGAUCAGAACCAAAGGAGACACUUGAUUGACACCUGCAUGACCCAGAGGGUCACUAUGGGGAAUCCCAGGACCCGGUCUCAGGGAUCCCCACUAUGAGAUUUUAAGUGACACACACACAAAAUGUAUAUCCCCUGUAUUAUUAUUAUUAUUUUUUAAUGUCUGUUAUUUGCAUCUUCUCUGCCUGGAAACCAAACUUCCUCCCUGUUCAGUGAAAUACCAGGUGCUGGUCUUCCCUGCUGGAGGCCCCUUCCUGGCUUCCCAGUCUCUGCCCAGCCUUAGCCUUGAAGGCCUCUGAGGCAGAAGGAGGAUUCCAGCCCCCAAAAAAUGACGAAACACCGGACGCCCAGCUUUU